rnacentral:rRNA from 1 species
AUUUUCUUUAAACUUAAAGGAUUUGGCGGUGAUUUAGUCUAAUCAGAGGAACUUGCUUUUGAAUCGACAUGACGCGUAAAAUUUUACUUAUUUUUGUUUUUAGUUUGUAUACCGUCAUUAUUAGAUAAUUUUGUAAAAAUAAAAUUAUUGAAUUUAAUUAUAUUAUGAAAAUUAGAUCAAGGUGCAGCUUAUAAAUAAGUUAAAGUGGGUUACAAUAAGAUUUACUUAAACGGAUUAAGGUAAGUAAGAGACCUUAGAAAGGAGGAUUUGAUUGUAAUAUAAGUUUAAUAAGGUUAGGAGAUAAGAGCUCUAAAUUGUGUACACAUCGCC